rnacentral:rRNA from 1 species
UAGCUACAGGCUUAACACAUGCAAGUCGAGGGGCAGCAUGGUCUUAGCUUGCUAAGGCCGAUGGCGACCGGCGCACGGGUGAGUAACACGUAUCCAACCUGCCGUCUACUCUUGGACAGCCUUCUGAAAGGAAGAUUAAUACAAGAUGGCAUCAUGAGUCCGCAUGUUCACAUGAUUAAAGGUAUUCCGGUAGACGAUGGGGAUGCGUUCCAUUAGAUGGUAGGCGGGGUAACGGCCCACCUAGUCUUCGAUGGAUAGGGGUUCUGAGAGGAAGGUCCCCCACAUUGGAACUGAGACACGGUCCAAACUCCUACGGGAGGCAGCAGUGAGGAAUAUUGGUCAAUGGGCGAGAGCCUGAACCAGCCAAGUAGCGUGAAGGAUGACUGCCCUAUGGGUUGUAAACUUCUUUUAUAAAGGAAUAAAGUCGGGUAUGGAUACCCGUUUGCAUGUACUUUAUGAAUAAGGAUCGGCUAACUCUGUGCCAGCAGCCGCGGUAAUACGGAGGAUCCGAGCGUUAUCCGGAUUUAUUGGGUUUAAAGGGAGCGUAGAUGGAUGUUUAAGUCAGUUGUGAAAGUUUGCGGCUCAACCGUAAAAUUGCAGUUGAUACUGGAUAUCUUGAGUGCAGUUGAGGCAGGCGGAAUUCGUGGUGUAGCGGUGAAAUGCUUAGAUAUCACGAAGAACUCCGAUUGCGAAGGCAGCCUGCUAAGCUGCAACUGACAUUGAGGCUCGAAAG